GGUGCUCUACCCAGAACACAAACACAUAAUAUCCAUUUGGGUUCUGCGUAGAGCACUGG
rnacentral:pre_miRNA from 1 species